UUUGCGGCGGCCAUGGCCCAGGAGAGACGCCCGGUCCCAUUCCGAACCCGGAAGCUAAGGCCUGGCACGGCGAUGGUACUGCACCCGACAGGGUGUGGGAGAGUAGCACGCCGCCGCA
rnacentral:rRNA from 1 species